GAUGAACGCUGGCGGCGUGCCUAAUACAUGCAAGUCGAGCGAACAGACGAGGAGCUUGCUCCUUUGACGUUAGCGGCGGACGGGUGAGUAACACGUGGGUAACCUACCUAUAAGACCGGGAUAACUUCGGGAAACCGGAGCUAAUACCGGCUAAUAAUUCGAACCGCAUGGUUCGAUAGUGAAAGAUGGCUUUGCUAUCACUUAUAGAAGGACCUGCGCCGUAUUAGCUAGUUGGUAAGGUAACGGCUUACCAAGGCAACGAUACGUAGCCGACCUGAGAGGGUGAUCGGCCACACUGGAACUGAGACACGGUCCAGACUCCUACGGGAGGCAGCAGUAGGGAAUCUUCCGCAAUGGGCGAAAGCCUGACGGAGCAACGCCGCGUGAGUGAUGAAGGUCUUCGGAUCGUAAAACUCUGUUAUUAGGGAAGAACAAACGUGUAAGUAACUGUGCACGUCUUGACGGUACCUAAUCAGAAAGCCACGGCUAACUACGUGCCAGCCGCCGCGGUAA
rnacentral:rRNA from 1 species